ACCUACGGGAGGCAGCAGUAAGGAAUAUUGGGCAAUGGAGGCAACUCUGACCCAGCCAUGCCGCGUGAAGGAUGACGGCCCUCGUGGUUGUAAACUUCUUUUGUACGGGAAUAACCCUCCGGACGUGUCCGGAGCUGAAGGUACCGUAAGAAUAAGGAUCGGCUAACUCCGUGCCAGCAGCCGCGGUAAUACGGAGGAUCCAAGCGUUAUCCGGAUUUACUGGGUUUAAAGGGUGCGUAGGCGGAUUGAUAAGUCAGUGGUGAAAGCCUGCAGCUUAACUGCAGAACUGCCAUUGAUACUGCCAGUCUGGAGUGUGGUUGAGGUAGCUGGAAUGUGUCAUGUAGCGGUGAAAUGCUUAGAGAUGACACAGAACACCGAUUGCGAAGGCAGGUUACCAAGCCAUUACUGACGCUGAGGCACGAAAGCGUGGGGAUCAAACAGGAUUAGAUACCCUAGUAGUC
rnacentral:rRNA from 1 species